rnacentral:rRNA from 1 species
AGUGAACGCUGGCGGCAGGCCUAACACAUGCAAGUCGAACGGCAGCACAGUAAGAGCUUGCUCCUACGGGUGGCGAGUGGCGGAUGGGUGAGGAAUACAUCGGCAUCUACUUUUUCGUGGGGGAUAACGUAGGGAAACUUACGCUAAUACAGCAUAUGACCUACGGGUGAAAGCAGGGGAUCUUCGGACCUUGCGCGAUUGAAUGAGCUGAUGUCGGAUUAGCUAGUUGGCGGGGUAAAGGCCCACCAAGGCGACGAUACGUAGCUGAUCUGAGAGGGUGAUCAGCCACACUGGAACUGAGACACGGUCCAGACUCCUACGGGAGGCAGCAGUGGGGAAUAUUGGACAAUGGGCGCAAGCCUGAUCCAGCCAUGCCGCGUGGGUGAAGAAGGCCUUCGGGUUGUAAAGCCCUUUUGUUGGGAAAGAAAAGCAGCAGGUUAAUACCCCGCUGUUCUGACGGUACCCAAAGAAUAAGCACCGGCUAACUUCGUG